CACUGAUGAACUAUUUAUUAGAAGACGUAGUAUAGUAUAUAAACGUGUAAAAGACUCAUACAACUGUCCCGCAUAUAUUAAUUCUAUGCUGGUGAGAAAUUCUGACAUUCACAAUCGAGAAACGCGUUUUUCUAAGAUUAACAUGAUAUGUCCCCGAUACAACCGAAUAACGGAAGGUGGAAAAACAUUCGCAGUGAGGACGAUCAAAGACUGGAAUACCAUUAAUGUAAAAAUCAGGAAUUCUGCAAGCCUUUAUAGUUUUAAACAUAGACUAUACAAGGACUUUUUAGAUGCUUUG